rnacentral:rRNA from 1 species
AUGGAGCCUAACAUGGGGCAAGCCCUGGCUGCCGUCCUCAUACUGCUGGUGACCACGAGAGCACUAUGGUAUCUGCUUUGGAGGCCAUAUGCUGUGGCCAGGUGGUUCGGGCGGCAGGGCAUCCAAGGUCCGCCUUACAGGUUCCUGGUUGGGUCCCUGCCGGAGUGCCAAACGAUGCUGGUCGCCGGGAGAGCCAAGGCUCUGGACACCAGCUCCCACGACUGCAUCACCACUGUGCAACCCUUCUUCCGGAAAUGGGCCUCCCAGUAUGGGAAAACAUUCCUGUACUGGUUGGGGCCGACACCAGCCCUGUGUUGUACUGACAUGGAGCUUGUGAAGCAAAUGUUCAGCGACAGGACAGACGUGUUCCAAAAAGAAUACUUGAAUCCGAGCCUGGACUCAAUUCUAGGGAACGGGGUCAUAUUUGCAAACGGAGACGACUGGAAGCGACGCCGCAAAUUCGUCCACCCGGCUUUCAACCAGGAGACGAUCAAGUCCAUGUCAGCAAUAGCGUGGGAGUGCAUGCAGCAGGCUAUGGAACGGUGGUGCGCCCAACUGCAAGAGCAGCAGCAAGCCGAGAUAGACAUGAGGCAUGACUCCGACGAGAUAGCCAUGGGUGUCAUUGUGCGAGUGAUGUUGGGCAAGGACCACGAGGAGGCCCGGGAGGUGAUGGUCGCCAGAAGGGAGCAGAUGGAGAUUGCCGCAUAUGCGUUCGCAGAUCUCCCGUUACCUGGAUUCAGGUACCUGCCGACACGUCGCAACCGUCGGACGUGGCAGCUCGACAAGCUCGUGACAAGCAAGAUCUCGCACAUCCUAAAGGCACGACUUGCCAGCAGCGUCUACGAAGAUGACCUGCUCGGGCAGAUGCUCCAGCUGCAGGCAUGUAGAAGCAGCGCCGAGACUCUGAGCACCCAGGAGAUGAUUGGCGAGUGCAGGACUCUAUUCGCAGCAGGGUAUGAAACCAGCGCCAGCGUCAUCACCUGGGCGAUGUUCCUGCUCGCCAGCUACCCACGCUGGCAGGAGAUGGUCAGGGAGGAGGUCGUACGGGAAUAUCCUGCUCACCAGCUACCCCCGGUUGACACCCUUGGCAAACUCAAGCUGCUUAACAUGUUACUCUUGGAGACACUGAGGCUCUAUGGCCCCCUAACUUUCCUGCAGAGGAAGACCGUCUCGGACACCAUCCUCGCCAACACGAAGGUGCCAAAAGGAACGAUGAUAUCAAUCCCGCUGCUGAUGUUGCACCGGGACAAAGAGGUUUGGGGACCCGACGCUGACGAGUUUAACCCGAUGAGGUUCCAGAGUGGCGUCUCGAGGGACACCAAGCUUUCACGCGCGCUGCUGGCCUUCUCAUAUGGGCCGAGGGUCUGUGCCGGGCAGAACUUCGCCAUGGUCAAGGUGCAGAUUGUGAUAGCCACCAUCCUCAGGAGUUUCUCCUUCUCUCUGUCCCCCAGUUACGUGCACAAGCCCAGCAAUUUCGUCACCCUAUUGCCCAGGUACGGGCUCCCUCUCUUCGUCAGGAACCUGCAGCAGCUGACUGAGUGA